rnacentral:rRNA from 1 species
CUUGAAUACAUUAGCAUGGAAUAAUGAAAUAGGACGUUUGAUCCUAUUUUGUUGGUUUCUUAGGAUUGACGUAAUGAUUAAUAGGGAUAGUUGGGGGGCAUUAGUAUUCAAUUGUCAGAGGUGAAAUUCUUUGGAUUUAUUGAAGACUAACUACUGCGAAAAGCAUUUUGCCAAGGAUGUUUUCAUUAAUCAAGAACGAAAGUUAGGGGAUCGAAGACGAUCAGAUACCGUCGUAGUCUUAACCAUAAACUAUGCCGACUAGGGAUCGGAUGAUGUUAAUUUUUUAAUGACUCAUUCGGCGCCUUACG